rnacentral:rRNA from 2 species
GUGACCUCAAAUCAGGUAGGACUACCCGCUGA